CUGAGCCCUCCAGGUAGCUUCGCCUCUGCCAAAAAGCAGAGGUGAGGAAAUUCCACCCAUUGAGGCAAGAAGAGGCUGAGAAGCCUCGCGUGGACAUCAGAAACGAGACCUUUAGCAAGCGCUAACGAUGAUUGAAAUAUGAGUUGCUUGCUAAAGGGUGAAACGGGUCCACGCAGCCAAUGAGAUGCAAGCUUAAAUGGCGCUUAGACGAAUGCUACCUAAAACAGAAGGUGGGUUAUGGAGGGCACAG
rnacentral:RNase_P_RNA from 1 species